AGUGAACGCUGGCGGUGGGCCUAACACAUGCAAGUCGAACGGCAGCACAGUAAGAGCUUGCUCUUACGGGUGGCGAGUGGCGGACGGGUGAGGAAUACAUCGGAAUCUACUUUUUCGUGGGGGAUAACGUAGGGAAACUUACGCUAAUACCGCAUACGACCUACGGGUGAAAGCAGGGGAUCUUCGGACCUUUCGCGAUUGAAUGAGCCGAUGACGGAUUAGCUAGUUGGCUGGGUAAAGGCCCACCAAGGCGACGAUCCGUAGCUGGUCUGAGAGGAUGAUCAGCCACACUGGAACUGAGACACGGUCCAGACUCCUACGGGAGGCAGCAGUGGGGAAUAUUGGGCAAUGGGCGAAAGCCUGAUCCAGCAAUGCCGCGUGAGUGAAGAAGGCCUUCGGGUUGUAAAACCCUUUUGUUGGGAAAGAAAAGCAGCAGGUUAAUACCCCGCUGUUCUGACGGUACCCAAAGAAUAAGCACCGGCUAACUUCGUG
rnacentral:rRNA from 1 species